GAUGAACGCUGGCGGCGUGCCUAAUACAUGCAAGUCGAGCGAACGGACGAGAAGCUUGCUUCUCUGAUGUUAGCGGCGGACGGGUGAGUAACACGUGGAUAACCUACCUAUAAGACUGGGAUAACUUCGGGAAACCGGAGCUAAUACCGGAUAAUAUUUUGAACCGCAGGGUUCAAAAGUGAAAGACGGUCUUGCUGUCACUUAUAGAUGGUUCCGCGUUGCAUUAGCUAGUUGGUAAGGUAACGGCUUACCAAGGCAACGAUGCAUAGCCGACCUGAGAGGGUGAUCGGCCACACUGGAACUGAGACACGGUCCAGACUCCUACGGGAGGCAGCAGUAGGGAAUCUUCCGCAAUGGGCGAAAGCCUGACGGAGCAACGCCGCGUGAGUGAUGAAGGUCUUCGGAUCGUAAAGCUCUGUUAUUAGGGAAGAACAUAUGUGUAAGUAACUGUGCACAUCUUGACGGUACCUAAUCAGAAAGCCACGGCUAACUACGUG
rnacentral:rRNA from 1 species